ACUGCUGUGUGCACUUCUUACUGAAGAUGAUCCUGGUAUUAUUUGCUUUCAGAAAAGAAAGAGACGGCUCCAUGUGCACUUCUUAGCAUUAUAUCAACUAGCAAAUAUGCCCGUGCGUUGCAACGGGAAAAAAUUAAGCAUAUGUAAUAUGGUUAGUGAGUUCAACCAUCUUUAAUUAUUGAAGGAACUUACAUAAGGUGAGUUGAUUCUAAGUAAAUCCAUAUGAAUCCAUUAAAACUGUGCACAUUAGGUAUUAGACCAGAUGCGCAUUUCGAACUGGGUCAUUUCUUGUGCAUCUCAGUGAAAAAAAUUAUCAUGGGAAAGUCAUGGAUAAAGGGUAACCUUUUUUCGGAUAAAUAACACAAACUAAUGAAAGUAUGUAAACAAAUAAUAAUUAUCCAUCAUCUCACAACUUGAAAAAAAAUGGUACGGCAUGUAUGUUCGACCAGACACGAGGGAGGCGAUAGAUCAAUCAAAAAUUCAUUCCUCCUUGGUGUUGCAUUGUCCACCUAUAGUGCUUCCUCACAUCCCUACUUUCCGAUGCCGCAAGGGCCAAAUGCCGAGCUCCUCAAGAUUUCGGACUUGCAGAACCGAAGCAAGGGUUCCCAUAAAUAAUAAACUAAAAUAAAUUUAUCAUAAUAAAAUCGCUGUUAUAAAGGAUUCAAGUAUGAUGAAAAUAUGCAUCUAUGUUUACUUCCCUUAUACAGCCCCUCUUUUAGGUGCAUGGGGCAUCCGUUACACAUGGGGCAGCUUUUUUUUGGGUGCAUGGGUCAUCCGUAACACAUGGCGCGGCCUUUUUUUUACGUGCAUGCAUGGGGCAGCCGUUUCUAGAUGUGCGGAGAUUAGUAUUUGCGUUUAUAGUGAGCAGUGGUCUGGUCUGCCUUCCGAAUUUAUUUUAUUUUUUGAGAAACCCCGCUCCUCCUAUAAUACAGAAGUUUCCUAUGUUUGCACACAAUCACAAGCCAUAUCAGUUGGUUAGUCCGCUGUGCACACUUCCUGCCAACCUUGGUUUGAGACCUCAUGAGCGCAAUUUUUUCCCUUUUUGUUUUACAAAACGGACAACGUACAAAAAAACAUAAAAGGACGACGUACAAAAGGACCCGAUGACCAAAAAAAGUGGAGAAACAAUCCUCCCUUUAAUAUUAGGUAAAGAAUGGAGUGAAUAGGGUUAUAUAUCAUCAUAUCUGCAUACAUAAUAUCUUCUAUAAUUAUUUACCGAUGUAGGCUCCUGUUGUUAGAUGGUGAACUUAUGCUCUUUUAUGCCAAGUAGUUAAAUUUAUGUGCACCUUCUUAAGUGUUUACUUGUUUCUGCUUUUAUAGUAUGGCUUGGUGGACCGAGGCCCUGCUGUGGAAAAAGAUCCUGAUAUGUUCGACCAUGCCGCCUUUAUGACCUAUUAAUGUGUUUUGAGCAUGUGACAAUUGUUUUCUCAAAUUUACGUGGUCUAUCUUAGAUUAGUAGUAAUCCUUCUCUAUGUUUCUGUAAUUUCAGUUCCUUAUGUUUGCCUUUAGAAAUUUCCUUUGCAUAUCCUGUUUUCUGCACAUCCCUCUUGUGGCCUGUUGUAAUGGUCUAAUGAACAGCCAUAUCAUGAUAUGAUUGCAUCGUUGCAUGAUAGUGUACCAUAUGCUCAUGCAUUUGUUUUCUUACCGAUGUUGUCCUAAUGAGUUGGCUGGCUUACAUGUAGUCUGCUGUAAAGGUCUACUUGUUUCAGGUAGCAUUGCUUUCUGGAAUACAUUAUUGGAACUUGGUAACCUUCCCUGGUUAUAGUCAGCAAGACAAGAAGAACAUACUUGUGUAUGAGUUCAUGCACAACGAAAGGAGCACCUUAGCUGAUGUUAAAUUUUCUCUUUGGAAUCAACAACACACUGUUGUAUAUACACGUGUGAUUCUUUCGCAGUAAAACUUUGCCUGUGCAGUUGUAUUUUGCUGAUUCAGGUUGUCUUAGCCUGCAACACUACGUCUAGGUUACCGCGUAGCCCAUUUCCUUUUAAGUGGGUACUUCCGAAUGAAAACUUGGAAUUACCUAAUAGGUGCAUACAUGAACUAUUGAUGGUGUGAAUAGAAACAACGGCAUUGGCGCAGACGCUUGGUGACCUUCACGUUGUUCCUCCAAGGCAGGCCAUGAGUGAUGGCAGCCGUGAGGUCAGCGUUGCUAGGAAAUAGGGAAAGGCUGCUGCCAAUUAUGCAAGAUACACACAUAGUUUGUGUUUGCUGUUUACAUGUCAGUUUUUUACCAUUUGAACUGUCUUUUAUAGACUGUAUAGUUCACAAAAAAGAAACUUUCGAUAAAGCAUAUAUGGGUUUGCAGUAGACCAUUCUAGACCAUAUUUCUUGAAUACAUAGUUUAUAGUAUUUUCUGGUUUUAAAUAUAUGAGAUUGCCCAUCUUAGUUAGUGGCACUGCUAUGCUUCACAGUAUACAAUGCUUGCAUGCCAAUAUAAUCAUAAGUGUUUUUUCGUUUUCAGGUGUUCUUAAUAUGGUGGGUGAUUGAAGCGAAAGCAUGAGGAGCAGUUCAAAGGGCGGAUGGAGCAUGUGACUUGUGUGGAAAUAACAAAUUUUCUUUUAGAUGAUUUGAGUGUAUGCUGAUGCGUGAAAGUCAAUCAUUUGGAUUCCCAACUAGCCUAUUGUGUGUGUUCAAUAUUUUGUUGCGCAUUGACAAAAUGUUUUCAGUGCCCGAGUGCGCAAGUUGAAUUUUGAAACAUAUGAGAGGAUAACCCUGCAAAAGGGAAUUUGCCCUUUAUGAAGGUUCGGGCUUGCUGUUGUAAUUAAAAGUAGGAGAUUUAUAUAUACCUAUAAUAGAAUAAUUCCUCAAGCUAAAGGCUUCUGUAACAUGUAACAUAUGAACUUUGUUUGUGCUAAUAAUUUUCCAGCCAUAGUAAAAGGCUAUGUUGCACAGGUA
rnacentral:lncRNA from 1 species